UACGUAGGUGGCAAGCGUUGUCCGGAUUUAUUGGGCGUAAAGCGAGCGCAGGCGGUUUCUUAAGUCUGAUGUGAAAGCCCCCGGCUCAACCGGGGAGGGUCAUUGGAAACUGGGAGACUUGAGUGCAGAAGAGGAGAGUGGAAUUCCAUGUGUAGCGGUGAAAUGCGUAGAUAUAUGGAGGAACACCAGUGGCGAAGGCGGCUCUCUGGUCUGUNAACUGACGCUGAGGCUCGAAAGCGUGGGGAGCAAACAGGA
rnacentral:rRNA from 1 species